UAACCAGCAUCAUAUCAAUCAGCAAAAUUAUUUACCGGUAUUUUUGUGAAAUUUCAGUUCUAUAGGUUAUCAAUUAGAGAAAUUUUGGUUUGCAUAUCAGUAGUGCAAGUGAAUUAGAAAUAGUUCCGAGUUGUGUGUGUGUUUUUUUUUAAUAGUCUAUAGAAUUAGAAGGACUUCCAAAUCCAACCAUGUAGUAUGGAAUGUUGUUGAGAUAUGGUUUUGGUCAAUGGAUGUUAAUGAAGGACCUGUAGUACAAAGUAUAUCACUGGAUUUAGCUCUUUGUCUAAGUGUAUUAUUAAAGUACUUUGCUUUGAGCUCAGUUCAUUGUUAUGCAAUUCAUUCUUUGUGAAAUAAAGAUUUGACAGAAAACUCUCAUGUACAAGGAUUUGUCAAAGUAGUACCACCUCUAUU